rnacentral:rRNA from 1 species
UACAGAGGGGGCAAGCGUUAUUCGGAAUUAUUGGGCGUAAAGGGCGCGUAGGCGGCUUUUCAAGUGACGGGUGAAAUCCCUCGGCUUAACCGAGGAACUGCCUGUCAGACUGGAAGGCUUGAGACCGGGAGAGGUGAGUGGAAUUCCCAGUGUAGCGGUGAAAUGCGUAGAUAUUGGGAGGAACACCUAUGGCGAAGGCAGCUCGCUGGGACGUUACUGACGCUGAGACGCGAAAGCGUGGGGAGC